rnacentral:misc_RNA from 1 species
GGUUGCGGGUCUCGCAACC